AACGAACGCUGGCGGCAUGCCUAACACAUGCAAGUCGAACGAGACCUUCGGGUCUAGUGGCGCACGGGUGCGUAACGCGUGGGAACCUGCCCUUAGGUUCGGAAUAACUCCCCGAAAGGGGUGCUAAUACCGGAUAAUCUCUUCGGACCAAAGAUUUAUCGCCUUUGGAUGGGCCCGCGUUGGAUUAGCUAGUUGGUAGGGUAAAAGCCUAGCAAGGCGACGAUCCAUAGCUGGUCUGAGAGGAUGAUCAGCCACACUGGGACUGAGACACGGCCCAGACUCCUACGGGAGGCAGCAGUGGGGAAUAUUGGACAAUGGGCGAAAGCCUGAUCCAGCCAUGCCGCGUGAGUGAUGAAGGCCUUAGGGUUGUAAAGCUCUUUUACCCGGGAUGAUAAUGACAGUACCGGGAGAAUAAGCUCCGGCUAACUCCGUG
rnacentral:rRNA from 1 species